rnacentral:rRNA from 1 species
AGGGGGCUUAGUGGUGGGGUGACUGCGUACCUUUUGUAUAAUGGGUCAGCGACUUAUAUUCUGUAGCAAGGUUAACCGUAUAGGGGAGCCGGAGGGAAACCGAGUCUUAAUUGGGCGUUAAGUUGCAGGGUAUAGACCCGAAACCCGGUGAUCUAGCCAUGGGCAGGUUGAAGGUUGGGUAACACUAACUGGAGGACCGAACCGACUAAUGUUGAAAAAUUAGCGGAUGACCUGUGGCUGGGGGUGAAAGGCCAAUCAAACCGGGAGAUAGCUGGUUCUCCCCGAAAGCUAUUUAGGUAGCGCCUCGUGAAUUCAUCUCCGGGGGUAGAGCACUGUUUCGGCUAGGGGGCCAUCCCGGCUUACCAACCCGAUGCAAACUGCGAAUACCGGAGAAUGUUAUCACGGGAGACACACGGCGGGUGCUAACGUCCGUCGUGAAGAGGGAAACAACCCAGACCGCCAGCUAAGGUCCCAAAGUCAUGGUUAAGUGGGAAACGAUGUGGGAAGGCCCAGACAGCCAGGAUGUUGGCUUAGAAGCAGCCAUCAUUUAAAGAAAGCGUAAUAGCUCACUGGUCGAGUCGGCCUGCGCGGAAGAUGUAACGGGGCUAAACCAUGCACCGAAGCUGCGGCAGCGACGCUGAUGCGUUGUUGGGUAGGGGAGCGUUCUGUAAGCCUGCGAAGGUGGCCUGUGAGGGUUGCUGGAGGUAUCAGAAGUGCGAAUGCUGACAUAAGUAACGAUAAAGCGGGUGAAAAGCCCGCUCGCCGGAAGACCAAGGGUUCCUGUCCAACGUUAAUCGGGGCAGGGUGAGUCGACCCCUAAGGCGAGGCCGAAAGGCGUAGUCGAUGGGAAACGGGUUAAUAUUCCCGUACUUGGUGUUACUGCGAAGGGGGGACGGAGAAGGCUAUGUUGGCCGGGCGACGGUUGUCCCGGUUUAAGCGUGUAGGUGUGUGUUCCAGGUAAAUCCGGUU